rnacentral:rRNA from 1 species
UACGUAGGGGGCAAGCGUUAUCCGGAAUUACUGGGUGUAAAGGGAGCGUAGACGGUAAUGUAAGUCUGGAGUGAAAGGCGGGGGCCCAACCCCCGGACUGCUCCGGAAACUAUGUUACUAGAGUGCAGGAGAGGUAAGCGGAAUUCCUAGUGUAGCGGUGAAAUGCGUAGAUAUUAGGAGGAACACCAGUGGCGAAGGCGGCUUACUGGACUGUAACUGACGUUGAGGCUCGAAAGCGUGGGGAGCAAACAGG